ACCUGAGUGGCUCAGUUGGUUAAGUAUCUGACUUCGGCUCAGGUCAUGAUCUCACAGUUCAUGAGUUCAAGCCCCACCUCAGGUU
rnacentral:tRNA from 1 species